rnacentral:rRNA from 1 species
UACGAAGGGGACUAGCGUUGUUCGGAAUUACUGGGCGUAAAGCGCGCGUAGGCGGAUCGCUAAGUCAGGGGUGAAAUCCCAGGGCUCAACCCUGGAACUGCCUUUGAUACUGACGAUCUGGAGAUCGGGAGAGGUUGGUGGAAUUCCGAGUGUAGAGGUGAAAUUCGUAAGAUAUUCGGAGGAACACCAGAAGCGAAGGCGGCCAACUGGCCCGAUACUGACGCUGAGGCGCGAAAGCGUGGGGAGCAAACAGG